AAUCAACGCUGGCGGCGUGCCUAACACAUGCAAGUCGAACGCGAAAGGGGGCUUCGGCUCCUAAGUAGAGUGGCGUCCGGGUGAGUAACACGUAGGUAAUCUGCCUUCGGGUGGGGAAUAACCAGUCGAAAGAUUGGCUAAUACCGCAUAAUGCAGCGGCACCUAAUGGUGAUUAGUUGUUAAAGCGGGGGAGUCGUAAGACCUCGCGCCUGAAGAGGAGCCUGCGGCAGAUUAGCUAGUUGGUGAGGUAAUGGCUCACCAAGGCUUCGAUCUGUAGCUGGUCUGAGAGGACGGCCAGCCACACUGGCACUGACACACGGGCCAGACUCCUACGGGAGGCAGCAGUGGGGAAUUUUGGGCAAUGGGCGAAAAGCCUAACCCAGCAACGCCGCGUGAGGGAGGAAAUCCUUCGGGAUGUAAACCCUCACAAGCAAGGGAAGAGAGCUCAGGGCCGAAUAAGCUUUGAGUCCGACGGUACCUUGCGU
rnacentral:rRNA from 1 species